UGCCCGAUCGUCUAAUGGCAGGACUCUAGUUUUUGGUGCUGGCUAUAUAGGUUCGAAUCCUGUUCGGGCAA
rnacentral:tRNA from 1 species